rnacentral:piRNA from 1 species
UGAUUAGAGCUGGAAGGCUGUAAGCUGGU